CUUGGCCUAGCAGUUCAUGCACACGAUCAAGAACAGAAGCAUUGAAGUCAUUGAAAUCCAACACAUUCUUCUUCAUCAAAACCACAGUCCCUUUGAUCUUCCUACUGUUUUUCCCAUUCUGCUCCUGGCCUGUGAUUUUGUCAAAGAGGUUGUGCAACAUUUUGUUCGGCUUUCCAAGAAGUAAGCAAAGAAUCUCUUGAUCUUUUUUUCGAGAAAAAAGUAGCUGUUGUUGGUGAAAUGAGUUGAAAGUUUGUAUGGAUGAGUGCGACAGGGAAUUGUGGUGGUAUUUAUAGGGAGAAAGUGAGCAAUAUUGCAACUCCUUUCUGAGAAGCUUCAGAAUAAUAGUCAGUUCAUGUGUUCAAUUUCAUUUCAUAUAUGGGCACGUUUAAUUGUCUUACUAUUUCUUUAAAAGAAAUAUACGAUUGGUUACAAGUCAGCAGUCUCUUCUCUGGACAAAGUCUUCCACGACUUUUAUCUAAGGAAAUUAUUUGUAGGGCUGUAUAUUUCUUGGGAUGGCUUGGUGACGGUGACCAAGGGGAGCAAAAUGCAAAUUAACCCAUACUCAUCCCUUUAAGAUUAACCCUUUGUUUAUAGAAAUUCUAUAUGCAUCACGUCUGUUCUUUGUUAAAAUACGGAUUGCGUAUUAAGAUAUAUAAUCGACGGUGUAGCUAUAGUAUGUUGAUACGUUUUAUUAUUCACAUAUUCUCGAUAGAUAUAUGAAUAUUUUAAUAAAGAAGGUACGUCAUGUUCGUACGAAGAACUGUCCCUAUAAAAUACAUUGAUGAAAUAAUUAGAGGAUUAAAAAUUAAAAGAUAUUGUACGCAUGAAUAGACUAUACGCCAAUUUAAUGCGAGAGGUACAAUUAAUUUUUUUUUCAUUGCAUCCUUGACAAUUCCUGGGCUGGGAAAUGAUUUGCUUAUAGUGUGCCUUUUUUUUCUUUUUCUUUUUUGUUUUUAACCGGAAAAGACAAUGCGGCCAAUUUGGAACCGCAGUUUUGGGUUUGGCUUUAUCUCAGAAGCAAGGAAAAUUCUGUGGUGCAAAGCCAAAAGGGCCAUCGGUUCGGACCUGAUUUAAGCUGCCACGUUGGACUUGUUCUUUGUAAUAAUAUUCUUCUCCCAGCAGCAAGUUGGCUUUUAAAUAUUAUUAUGAAUAGAUAUAUUCCCUCGCUUUUCACAUGGGGUCUUUUUCCAUUUGGGAAUAAUUUGUUUAUUCUCAUGUUCAAGAUGAAAUUCCAAAAGAUUUUGUUUGUGGGUGUAGUGGGAUUAGUUUAAUCACAACACAAAACAGACAUGAAAACAUCCCUUGCACGUGAUCUGUGUAUAGCUCAAUUACAUUAAUUAUUAGUCUAUCUUAAUCUAUCUUAAUCCCAGUUAUCAAACUUUCCUUAUUGUGUAAAGCAUGCAAGAUUGAACUUUGACGAAAAUGGUUUAGGGGUCCUUCAAUCUGAGGGAUUGAACUUAAUUAAGAAAAAAAACCACUUCACAUGCAAGAAAAAUUCUCUACAGAAACCAAAGUCACAGAGAAAGAACAGCUAGCAGUUUGGUGCUGCACCCAAAAUUAGAAGACGUGUGCAUUAACAUUUCUCGUGAACAAAUUGAACCACUUCAUACCUAACUAUAGUACCAUCCAUUAAUUGAGCAUACAAUGAAUUAGAUUUUAAAUUUACAGUUGCACCAUCAUAAUCAAGUAGCUUGUCCCACAAUGUUUUGAAGAACCUAAAGUUGGAUAACCCCGAUCAGAUUGUUAGGUGGAUAAAUAUUAAUACUAAUUAUUAUUACGAUCGAGAAUGUGAGAUAACUUAGAUUAGAGUUGUAAUUAACCAACAAAAUUUAAUCAAAUUCUACAAUUGUGACCAAGUCUAUAGUCCAUGCUAGUCACCAAUUUGGUUUAGAUCUGAACAAACCCUUGGAUAAGUACUAUACUGGUCUACAGAGAUAUUAGGGGUCUUCAAUUUGAAAUGGGCUACGUUUAAUUUUUAAUUUUUAAUUUCCCAAUUUGUACAAGGAUAAUUUUUUAUUUUUUUUACACAACGGCCAUAGUGUUUUAUUAAUGAGGAAAAUGAGUAACAAGUAUAUAAAAAAAAAAACCAGAAUAUGUUCUAGAGGAUUAGGCGAGUACUCUACACCAAACGAAGCGUAGUGGUCAUCGGUCUACCGAAGUAUCCUACCUUCUCAACUACAAACGAAAAAAGGAACCUUGUCUCCAGGGCCGAUCCUGAGAUUUUGAGAGCACUGUGCAAAACUUAAAUAGGAGCCCUCACAUCAUUUAAUAUGAAAAUAUUUAUGAUAAAAAAAAAAAUUGCCAUGACUUAAUACCAUAAGAUAAUUUUUUUAAUAACUAAAAUUCAUCAUGGAUUAGCAUGCAAUGGCACUCAUAAAUCAAAUUCAAACAAAAUUUAAUGUUUCAAUUUGAGAAAAAAGAAGAGAAAGAAGAAGACAAUAACUUUUUUUGUUUUGUUUUGAGUGGGUUAAAACAUACAUUACAAAUUUUUUUUAGUUGAUUGGAGAAAGCUUGUAUAUAUUGCCUUCAUCUUCUUUGGCAUGUUUCCUUAUUUUUUUUUUAUUAACAUGUUUUUCGAUUUUUUUUUUUUGUUGUUGUUGUUAACAAAAAGAGAAGAAAUGUAAAUACAACUAUUUUGAAUGACACAAUACUAAUUCAAACCAGACUUGCUUAUUAAAAUAAAGGCGUUGAUUUCCAACUCAACCAAAUAGUAGCUUGUGUUAUUGUCAUGCACGCUCAAGUAUAUAUAUAAUACUUAUAAUAUAAAUAUAUAUAAAAUAUACACAUAAAAUUUUUUUGAAGUCGUGUGCAAUGGCACUACUUGCACACCCUCAACGCCAUCUCUGCUUGUCUCCAAUAGAGUCCCCUUAUCUAAUAGAGUCACAAGGACAAUUUGGAUCAAUAUAAUAGAGGCAGCUAAAACAUGGAUGGGUCUAAAAUAUACCUAAAAGUGAACUCUAAAGAAAAUAAAAUAUGUUUUUAGUCCAAGUAAUGGGUAACGUCAUUAAACAUUCUUCAAUUCCAUUUUAUAUUUAAGAACGUGGAAUAUAUAUAUAUAUAUAUAUAUAUAUAUAUAUAUAGUAACGAAGAAGCGUGUCUUUCAUGUCACUGAAUGUGACAUCCAGCAAUCAAACGGUCAAUGAGAGAAGUUAGAUUGAUAGAUAAGAUAGUCAUGUGACCAAUGGUAUUAAAUUGAAUUGAAUUGAUUUGGUAUUCUUGCCCUAAAAGAAAUUGAAUUGAAUUGAAUUGGUAUUAGGCUAUUAGCAUACGCAUGGACCCCUAAAAGGUCUAGACAUGGGUAAAAGGAAAAAUAAUAAACAAAUCUCAUACUUUUCCUUCGCAUGGAUCGUUGACUUUAAUAAAUUUAUUUGCUUUAUUCAAUAACUAUUUUGUACAACUUUACGUAUACUGUAUAUAACAACGUAAAUCACAUCGACGUACGUAUGAUUUGCAUGUCGAAAACGUUGUUGAAACAUGAUAACCUUCUUUGACUCCCAAAAGCCUUGAAAAAAGAAAAAUAUGAUGACUUCUUGGACAUGUCAUAAGGCUAGUGGUGGUGGAGGUGGGAUUCUUUUAUUUCUUAUAUUCCGUUAUAUGAUUCUUUCAGCCUUUGCUUUUAUUUCAAAAUAUAGAAGAAAGAAAAAAAAUCCUUGUUCCUUAAUGGCCAACAUAGGCCAGUGGUGGGCUCAAAAGCCCAAACUGAACCCACUUUCAAGGCACGUGAAAUGUGAAAGAACUCAUAUCUCAAAUAAAAAACACCUCUUUAAAAUGAAACUGAGCGAUUGAAAUGAAAGUACAGUUGAAUUCUUAAAAGUCAAUAGUGUCCUUACUUUUUUUUUAAUAAUUCUUGCAUAUUUAAGGUAUACCAUGUGACUAGUGUACCAUCCAAUAUACAUGUAACAUAUGAAAAUAUUAUCCAAUAUUGUCUUGUGUGUAUUGAAUGGUAAUGAUGUGGUGUACCUAUACAAAUUUUUUUUUUUUUUUUUCCCCUUACUUUGAGAAGUUGGUUUUGGGCUAAUGCAUAAAACUUUGAUAUUUGGUGACCAGAGAACAGUGGGCUGCUGGACUAGGAUAUUUCAGUUAUGAGGGUUGGGCUUGGGAAUUUGAUAUUGGGUUGCUAGACUUGGACAUUUCGAAAAUAUUAAAAAAAGAAACACCCGAUCUUGUCCGGUUCAGUCUUUAAAUCUAAGCUGAUUUUUUUAGUCAACAUGAUUUUUAUUUACUCAGUUCGUUGAUUCUGUGGUUUUUAUGCCAACCCCUAUUUCAAAGUGUCUCACCCGAUUUUUACUUAUUUUUGGUUUAAGCAUUAUAAAUUAAACCAGAUUAACAAACAAGAGAAUAGUUACCCUUUUAUUAUUAAUUAAUCUAUGUCCAUUUACCAUUUUAUUUCAAUAGCUAGAGAAAUUAAAGAAAGAAGGCGUAGAAAAGUUGAAGAAAAAAGGGUGCAGCAAGAAGAAGAUGAAAAUUUUGCUGUGGCAGUGGGUUUGCUUGAUUUAGAAAGCCAAGGUUGUCAACGUGGUUCAUAAGUUGGCCGUGGCCUAAACGUGGAUAGACAUAGGCAUUCUCGGGGUAAGAAUCUUUUGGAAGAUUACUUUAUCCCAAAUUUUGUGUACUUUAAUGUUGAUUUUCAAGGGCGAUAUAGAAUGCAACCUCAUUUGUUCAAUAAAGUCAUGCAUGAUGUUUGCAAUUACGAUGCAUACUUCGUUCAGAAAUGUGAUUUUGCAGGGGUUUUAGUGAUUCUUCCAGAGCAAAAGCUUACAGUUGUUAUACGAAUGCUGGCGUAUGGUUCAUAUGCUGAUAAUGUGGAUGAGAUUGCUAGGAUGGGGAAGUCCACUACUCUAGAGACCAUGGUCAGAUUCUAUGACGCAAUCGAAACUCUCUACACUAGGGACUAGCUCUGCAAACCUACGCCUAGGGACCCCCAAAGGCUUCUACAGAAAGUCGAAGCUUGAGGUUUUCUAGGUAUGAUUGGAAGUAUCGAUUAUAUGCACUGGCAAUGGAAGAAUUGCCCAACGUCCGGGCAAAGAGAUUAUGAAAAUAGGAAAGGACAAAAAAGUAUCAUUCUCGAAGCCGUUGCUAGAUUCGAUACAUGGGUUUGACAUGCCUUCUUUGGAGUUGUCGAAUCUCAAAACGACUUGAAAGUGUUGGGUCAAUCCCUAGUUUUCAACGAUGUCUCGAGAGGUGAAGCCCUAAAUAUCACUUAUGAAAUCAAUAAUACUGUCUACUGGAAUGGUUAUUAUCUAGCAGACGGCAUCUACCCGAGGUGAACCACAUUUGUCAAAUCAAUUCUGAAUCCCCAAUCCGAGAAGCAAAAAUUAUUUUCUGUCUAUCAAGAUGGUUACAGGAAAGAUGUCGAAAGGUGUUUUGGUAUCCUCCAAGCAAGGUGGGCGAUUAUUAGGGGUGUUGUGUGUAUGUUUGAUAAGGAAGUGCUGAGGAGGAUUAUGAUGACUUGCAUCAUCCUCCAUAACAUGAUUGUGGAGGAUGAGUAUGAUUGUGAUGCUCAAGAUGUGUUCGAACCGGAUCCCAUGAACACGGCCUUAACAAGAAUUUAUAAAAGGCUCAUGGGACCAAAUGGACAACCACUAGAGCAUGAUCUGUUGGUUAGGGACGAUCGUUUCAUGAACUGUAUGAUUGAUCGAUAUACGGAGAUGCAAUCAUUUUAUAUUCAUGAACGACAAGUUGACUUGAUGGAUCAUUUAUGGACGGUGAGAGGCAAUGACGGUGAAUGAAGUGAAGUGAAGAUGCAUUGUUUUUAAUUUUACUUUGUGUUGAUAUUUUAUUUUUAAUUAUGCUUUGGUUGUAGUUGUUUUUAAAGACAUUAAAAACAUUAAAGACAUUAAAGUAUUUCAUGUCAAAAAGUGGUUGGCUUGUGCACUAGAAAGCUUAACACUUACAGAGCAGCCAUUAAAGUAUUUCAUGUUGGGUUUUGGCCAAUGCCGUCGACAAUUUAUGGCAAAAGGUGGUUGGCUUGUGCUUCUAAUUAUGUUAGCAGGAGGUAUAGGAAUGCUUACUAUAACUUUUGGCGGACCUCAAGAAGAGGUAUUUUUAUGCCCAUUAUUUAUUUAAUUGAAUUGCAUUUUUAUGCCCACUUUUGGACUUUCCUUUAUUGAUUUUAUACAUUGAUCAUACUGCAGCAUAUUCAGGAGCUUGUUCGUCGUCUCCAAUUCGGACUCUGGUGGCUGGCUCUUGGUAAGCAAUAGCAUGAAAUUUUGACAUUCUGGUGGAUAGAGUUGACCUGUUUUCGACAACACUCGGAUUGAUUUUAUUAUAUUGUUCUUCUAUGCAGGAUCUGGUUUGCACACAUUUGUGCUAUAUUUAGGGCCUCAUAUAGCUCUGUUUACUAUGAAGGCAGUGCAGUGUGGCAGAGUUGACAUAAAAAGUGCCCCGUAUGACACCGUUCAAUUGAAAAUAGUCCUUCAUGGCUGGACAGAGACUGCUCUGAAUUCAGGGACCCCAUAUUUUUAUCGCAGCACAGUUCAAGGGUUCCACUUAGCAGCAUAUUGCCUCAGGUUCAGUUAGAGGCUAUCCUAUGGGGAAUCGGAAUCAGCGGCGGACCUAUUAAGGCGCUGCACAUCUUCUUAUCGGAAAAAUUAUUAUAGGUACUUCAAACUGCUCAUUUGCUCAACUGGUGUAUAGAUUACCUUAUUUAUUUUUAUAUUACUUCAUUUAUUUAAGUUUACAAUGUAAAUAAGGAAGUACCUGUUAUAAAAAAUAAUAGUUUUCCUCUUUCUGUAAAGCCAAAUACAAAACAUUUAUAUUAUAAAUAACAUAUAAACAAAUUAGAAAGCUUUGAAGGUAUAAUGAAAUUGAAGAAAACAAAAUAAUAGGUAAGUAAAAGGAAAAUGAAUAAUAAGUAAGAAGGUGAGUUUGGUACGGUGAAGCACGUCAAAAACGCUGUCCUAAAGCUUUUGUAGCCUCCCUACGUGCAAGUACUGACGGUCUACAAGACUCCAAGAUAAGACCCCUUAUACACAAACUCAAGAUCCGCUAUGAGCACGUUCAUAGACAGAUAUAGGUAUCCAAGUCACAUAACCAUUGCCCAAAAUAAUAAUAAUAAUAAAGUAGAGAAUAUAUGUAAAAGUAAAAAAGGAGAGAAUCAGAAUGUGGUAUAAAACAUGUAACAUUCACCAACCAUAAAAGUUCACCAACCAAAAAAUUAAGCCAUUCACCAACCAGAAAUAAAACCUAAAUAUUAAAUAUUUAUAACCCCCACAAUAAAUAAAAUAAACCAACCAAAAUAAUUAAAUAAAUAAAACGGUUAAAUUUUUAAAACCUUUUAAAAUUCCAAGAGUACCCCCCAUUUGGAUUCAAAUAAAAAUAAUAGAAAAUCAAAUUCCCACCAUAUCAAAAUAUGAAAAAUUGAUUUUAGUGCAAAAUACGAUUUAGGCUAAAAAUGAUGGCUCAUUAAGUCAAUAUAUUCUUCAUACUAAAAUCCCAUAAAAUCAAGUUUUCUUAUUUGAUGUGUAAGGAAUAAUAGCCGCCAAAAAUUAUCUUGAGAAAAUGAUUAUUCUGAAAAAUCAUUUUUCAUACUUAGUCAAUAUUGCACCUCUGCUAAAAAAAUUCUGAGUCCACCAAUGAUCGAAACUGCACUGGGAGAGCUUCCUCCUUAUUUCAUAUCAAGAGCUGGUAACUAAAAAACAACAAACUAUCUUCUUGUACUCACUGUCUCGAUACUCUGCAAUCGUCGUAGUAAACAAUUUCUAGGCAGGAACAGCCUGUUAGAAAAACUUCUAACUUAUCCAUGCACUUAUUUCAUGUCCCUUUAUAAGUCGGGAGUAUAUCUGGAUUCUUUAACCUGACUACAUAGUGUAAGGGUGAGUGAGUUGCAUAUGUUGAACCACUAAUUUCUCCCUGAACGAAUUUCUGAAUCUCUCCUAAUCUAUGAUUAUGUGCAGCUCAACCUACAAAUAAAUAGACUCCAAAAUAGUAUAUUAGUCUUGUACUUGGCCUAAUUCUUUACCCCAACCUGAACAACAAUCACAAAACCGUCAAUAAAAUGAAUAGGAACAAAAAAAGAACAAAACCACAACAUAAUUAACUUGAAUAUCAGAAAGCAAUAUGCUAAUUUGCGGUAGAGAUUUGUUCUUUUCUUUUUUCUUUUUUAACCUUUUGAAUUGUAUAACGAUCAUCAAUUUUAUAGGCUUUGAAUAUCAAACAAAAAGUGCAAAGAAAGCAGCCAAAAGUUGGGACCAGCUUCAACCAUUAUCUCCAAGGCCAUGUACAAUUGCCACUCAGGCAGUCUAUUUUCACAAAUUGAAAAUGCAAUUACGUGGUUCUUGUUUAUCAAUUGCCAACUUGACGUGGCUGAAGAAUAACAACAAUAAAAAUAGAAAGAAAAGAAAACUGAACUGCAAUUCACUACAGAAAACAAACCAAAAAUAAAUAAUAAACAAGGACUUUCCCUCGUCACUCUCAUCUUCAAUUCAGCCCCAUGCCUUACGUCACCAAGCUCAUACUUCUUUAUUUUACUACAACAUAGCCACGUUAUGUUGCCAAUUGACAAACAUGCACUAUGUAAUUGUUAAUCUUUUUUUUUUCUUUUUUUGAAAAGAAACAAAUAUAUUAAAGCAAUUAAAUUUAGUGCUUUUAACCAUUAUAAUCACACAAAAUCUAAUGAAAAUAUUAUUUUUUAAAAAUAUAUAAAUAUUAACAUAUCAAUUAACUUUAACUUUCAUUGCAAGUGUUAAUAUCUUAGUCAUAAGUAAAUAACAAACAUUGAUGAACAUGCUGUAAUUGAAAUGCAAUUGAAUUUACAAAAAUUCAAUUGGCAGACAGAAAGCAGGUAAUUGAAUAUGUGAAAUUUAAUUGCAUCAAUGGAGUGGAAUGCACUAAACAAGUUGAGAAAACUAAACAUACUCCAUGUUUUACUUUAUUAACCAAUAUUGUCCAUUUUGUUAAAUUACCAUUAAAAAAUUCAUUUAAAUAUUUUAAGUUCUAUUUAUAAAGAAAACAAAUAUGAAUUAAAAGAAUAAAAUUUAAUUAAAAAAAUUCUGGAAACCCGACAGCCUCUAUGUCUUUCUCAUGCAACCACCACCACCCAACCCACACCACAACCACCAUGAGUAGUCCCAGCCACCACCUUAUUCUCUCUCUCUCUCUCUCUCUCUCUCUCUCUCUCUUUCAAUUGUCGAAUCCCAACAUGGCAACCAAGUUCUUCAGUUUCUUUUUGCUGAUUAUUUUGCUCUGCUCCACAUUCAUUGCAAUAAAGUGCCCGACCCUUCAAUAUCAUGAGUACAACAAUUGGAGGUUUCCUUGAUGGGAAUCGGGCCCUAGCCUAGGUGAGGGGCACUUACGAACCAACAAACCCUUGGAGGGAUAAAGAAAUCUGGCCCGAGCCCUCCCUUCUCUCCCCGAUCCAUCCCACCCCACCCCACAACUCCUCCAUCUCUCUUUCCUCUCUCUUUCUCUCUCCCUUUUUCCAUCCAACCCACGCCCACAAAAAUAUGAGUGAAAUAAAGAUUCAACAUCAGUAUUGGCAGGCAACUGAUGGUUGUGGUGUUGGGUUGGGUAGCGGCAGCAGCAUGAGAGGAGGACACAUAGUCUGUUGGGUUUCCAAAAUUUCUUUUUUAAUUUUUUAAUUUUUUAAUUUUUAUCAACAUUAUAAACUGAACUUAACAAAUUUUUUAAUUAAUUUUUAAACUUUAAUGAAUUUUUUAACAAUAAUUUAAUACAAUUGACAACAUUGACUAAUGGAGUCAAACACAGGAACUAAAUUGAUCAAAUUAAAUACAAGAUAUUAAAUUUGCCAAAUGUACAAAUUACAUGGACUAUUUUAAUAUUUAAGCCUUAAUUUUAUAGAAGCAGUUAGACUUAAUAAAUUUUAUAUUGUUUUUGCUUUUCCUCGGUGAUGAUUUUCAUUUAAUUUUUGAACAGAUGAGACAGAGGCAACUGAUUCUAUGCACUUGCAGGCAUGCUGAGAUUGAGGCGCUUAUACAUAUUGUCAUGGAUGAUUUCAAAGAUGCUUUUGCUGCCCCCUCUCAAAUAUGCUUAUUAAAAGUAAGGCUUAAAAUUCUGAUUUUCGUAGUUUCCAGUAUCUUGGAUGAAAUGUUGAUAUUGCAUAUGCCUAGGCUGUUGCUGCAGAAUUUUCUGACCGAAGGCUUGCAAUGAAGCUAACGAACCAAUGAAUACAGAGCUAUUUAUAUAAAGAUAUUGUAGCUGUAAUAUUGUAGGUCCAGCAGAUGAAGAUGAAGAUGAAGAUGAAGAUGCUCAACUUAACAAUCCAAUAUUACUGCAACUGCAAUAUUGUAGGUCAUGUUUCUAGCUUAUUACACAUAAGGAAUGCAUUAUACUAAUUAAUUAUAUAUAGUAAUUGCAACUUGCAUUAUAUUAAUUAACUUUAGUCUAUAUGCUAGCUUGAGAGGCUUAGAUUGAGACACUGUUGGGAAUUCCCCUGCCAGUAAGUCCUCCUCCGCUAGUAGGAAACAGCAAAGUGUAUGGCAUCUUCACCGGUCCAACUCGGUUCUUCAGUUUCUCAUCAUUGUUCAUACUUUCAAUUCUGUCCUCAAUUUCAGCCAGUUUCCUUCCAAAUUUAUCAAAGACUUUCAAUGGUUCUGUGUCUGCUGUCCACUCAGGAGUGUCUCUCUGCCCCAAAUACACUUCAUCAGUAGAAUGCCUUGACAGAAUUUCAAUGAGGGCAAUGCCAAGCACUGUCUGCAGCUGAGCAGUAAUUGUUUUCAAGAAAACUGUAUCGGGGCUGGAUUCGAGCUCUUUGUACUCAGGAGUUCCCUUCUCAGGCAUGAAUUUUCGGCUUAAAGUUGGGCGGUUGGGGAGGUAUCCUGCAUAAGGGUACUGUCCAAAGUUGACUGCUGCAUGGAGAGCAGAAGCAGUCCAUAUGAUGAUAGUGCAUGUUUCGACUAGGUCUUCACGAGUCUGCAUUUUAGGCCACCAGGGCUCAUCUUUUUUGUCACCAUGGCCUUCCUCUACAAGCUCCUUCCACCAGGAUUGGAGUUCAGUGUCUUUUUGAAUUAUGUCAUCAGUCUUGUAGUAGAAAGAGCAAUAGUCUUCAACCCAAGUUUUAAUUGCAAACCAGAUUUCAAUCCCAUCAACAGCAUAUGGAUAGUCCUCGAUCAGUAGGCGAAGACCAUGUGGAGAAUUUGCAUCCUUGACUGCAACUCCUCUGUAUUGAUCAAAGGCAAUGCAAUGUAAUUAGAAUAAGAAAUGGAUAUUUAUUACUUAUCUUGUGCUCAUUUGAGUUACUUGUGCAGAGGCUAUUAACUCACAAAGUGUAGAUUUUUGUUUACCUCUUGAUGAGAUCUGCAGGGAGAGCUUGCUCGGUGAAAACCCAAUCCUUAUAAACCACUGAUGACAUCUCCAUGGCAUACCUAGAGGGAAAAACCGUCGUCUCCAGAAUGCCACCAGCAUUAAUCACGAUUUGCCUAGCAAAUGCAUUUAUGUUCAUGGUGUCACGGAAGUGAGGAUGCAGAAGUUUGUAAAUUGGGUGAACCACGCUUAGCUGCCUGUUUGUAGCUAUUACAACUGGCUCACACACUGCGUGGGUGUUCAACCUGUGGCCAAAAGAUAAAAGGAUUAUCAGAAACCCAAUUCAAAGUAUAUGAUGAAUUCAUUUUCUAAGUCUUUUUCUUUGAAAGAUUAGUACCAGUGACUGAUAAGUUGAUGAUAUCCAGAGUCAUUUACAGCCACGUAAGCUUUAGCCAGUUGCCAUAUGGAGCCUUCUACACCCUCUUCAGCUGGUGUAUAUACUUUACUAAUGCGACCAAAUUGAUCUCCAUCAGGAUGAGGCAAGCUUAAUUCAAUCACCAAUGGCUUCAAAGUUCCAUCACUUUUCAAGAAAAGAACUGUUCUGCUAGCAUAGAUCUUGUUGGAAGUUGAGUUUAUCCGCCUCAGGUACGGCAUCAAUGCAUCAUGAUGAUCCAAUAUGAAUAACUUGUUCUGCUUGAGUGCCUAUCCAACCAAAUUCAUUUUCAUCAUUAUGAAAUGAUAUAAACUCAAACAUAAGCUAAUACAAUGUAAAGGAAGCAAAUCCAAGAUAUUACCUCAUGCACAGUUAGUCCAUCCAACUUGUUCCCUAUAUCCUGUUCUGUUAUUCUACUGGUUUGAUCUCCAUAAACCUUUGGGUCUAGUUUGCUUGCUGGUGGAAAUUCCUGCAGUUCAGUUAGAAGCAAAUGUGAUUAAAUAUGAACAAAAUGGACCCUCGAAAGUAUGGUUUGUUUUUCAUCCAUUAUCAUUGGAAAACAUCACACACACAAAAUGUUGUGAAGAUUAUUACUUGGAGAAGACUAAUGUUGACAGGGUUCACUCCAGCCAGCAUUUCUCUGGCAAAUUCUUCAUCAGUCCUCCAUGCAGACUUAUCCUCUGCUCCAAAUCAUGAAAACAUCAGAAUUAGAUAAAAGGAAAUAGUACAUGAUAUCAUAGGCUAUUGCUUCAAGCCUCUAAAUUCAGAAUUUCUCAUUGGUGGAACCAUAUACCUUCGAUCACUUGCGGCAUGGGGAAUCUGAGCAAUUGUGCGCCGUCAGUUCGGAAAAUUUCCUUGAGCAUCUCUGCAGGGAUAUUGUCUCCGAUAUCCUUCAACAAACCUUCAGGCAAUGGAAUGCCUCCUAUAUAGAGUUUAAGCACAUCUUCAAAGCUGUCAAACUCGUUAGGAGUCUUAUCAAACAGGGCUUCUAGCUCUGGUCUAAUGAAUUGAACUAUGGAUUUCAGUGCAUAAGCCAGAAAGUCUGACAACUUCAAGUGUCCAAAUCGUUCAUCUCUUGGCACAUAAACGUUUAAGCUCAUAAUAAGCGGAAUCCUACUCUCGCUGUUAGGAUCUGUUAGAAUAAGAUCAGAAAAAUCAUAGUGAUAAUUACAACAUCAGUGAAUUAAAAUCCAAAUUAGUAUAUCAACUUUUACUGUUAAACAAUACAAAAUAUGAUCCCUCUUGCGACUGCUAAUUAAUUAUUUGAGGAACAAAAAAUCACACAAAGAUAUUUAAAUGGCUAACCUGUCUUCGUUGGUGGUCUGCCGGUUCUUCCCCUGCGAGGGUAAGGGUACUCGCUAGACCCUCCCAGAGUUGGUCGGGCAUAUUUGGAACCCUUAUCAGGGUUUCCUAGAUCAUUGUAGUAAGCAUAGUCAUAGACCCUGUCCCAUUCCUGGAGCUCUCCCUUUCCAUUUCCUCUCAAGUGUACUAGUUCUUCUUCUCUGUAUUUUCGCAGUGGCAACGGUGUUUCACUUGGGAGAAAUGUCUGCACAAACAUAUACAAGGCUUGAAUGUUAGUCUUUAACUUAAGAUACAAGCCACAAAUAUACUCAUAAUAUACUAGGCUUGCACUUAGAAUUUAAAACUUCCAUCAGCUACAACAAAAACUACAGCAGAUUGUAAUGGAUUGUGUGAAUCAUUCUUUACCUUGUUAACGAAGAAAACACGGUCUUUCGUGUAUUUUUCUGCAGGGUACACCCAUGAGUUGCAAACAAAGUGGACCCGGCCCUCACGAGGAACAUCUUCAAGGGUGAUAGUCUUAAGGAAGAACUCACUGUGAUGAUUGUUUUUUAUCAAGAUGGCUCCUGGAACUCCUAUUUCCUCUUCCCAGUCAAAGGUAACCUUGUAUGCAGAAUCUCCUACUGUUAAUGGAGUGAUUGUGGUGAUCCAGUCUUCCAGAUAUGCUGGCUCUCCAAGUUUCCCCUUAAACCUGUUUUCUACAAAAACACAUUUCUCCAAGUUCAGAAAAUAAUUCCAUAUCUAGUAGCCCAUAAACAAAUCAUUUAAUAUUUCCAAUAGAAUAAAGUUCAUCCGAAAUUUUGUUCUAAACACCUCAAAUCAGGUCUUAGUUGGAGCCAUUUUAUGCAAGUUUUUGUAAUUUUAUUAGGAAUAGAGCCUGCAGCUGUUUCUUCAAAAUAUUCAAAGGAAAACCAAAAAUAAUUGGAUCUGAGUAAAAAACCAUAAUCAGAUAAAGGCUUAAAAGCUAUGCCAACAGCCCACCUCCAACUGCAUGGAGCUUCAUUUUCACGUUAACUGGUAGCUAGACUGGUAGUUGGCUUUCCUGUCUAAUCACUUCAUGACAUGACCACUAUGAAAAAAAUAACAAAUGUUGGGGCCAUGAUUUAAGAAUCAUUUCCAUAUCUUUCAAAAGCUUAAUUAUGUCACUUUUUUUAAGACUAAACUGGUUUUUUAAUCAAUUUUUUUUUACCAGAAUCACUGGCAAAAACAAUGUUGGGGCACCUUCAAUCACAAUGAGAGAGAGUUGGAAGGGGUAAGCUUAAGACCAAUGCAUUCUAAAUGCCUCAAGACUGGACCCAAAAAUUUAUAAAAUAAAAAUAAAAGAUUAAUUGACCAAGGUGCCCCUUGAAUUGUCAAAAAGCUGUUUCCAUUGCCUGCCUAUAUCAGACUUGCAUUCAAAAUCUGAUUUAUUCGACCUAAAAGGCAGGUGUGCAUUAAAUAAGAAAACAGAUUAAUGACAUAAUCUGUAACCCAACUAAUCCACCAAGGAAAGAGAUAGAGUUGUUGGUUCAUCUUCUUAAUCUUGUCAUAAUUGCUUCAAAGAAAAAGAAUUACAAGGAAAUGAAACAAGAGCAAAACUCAAAUUGGUUUCAUGUCAUGCAUAUUCAAUCAAUGAAGCCAUAAAAACUAUACAUUUUUAAUGAAAAUUAAAGAGAGAGAAAAAAAAACUCACCAGAGUCUCCAUGAUCAGCACUGAUGAGCUGCAGAGAAACCCCUUGGCCUAGCAGUUCAUGCACACGAUCAAGAACAGAAGCAUUGAAGUCAUUGAAAUCCAACACAUUCUUCUUCAUCAAAACCACAGUCCCUUUGAUCUUCCUACCGUUUUUCCCAUUCUGCUCCUGGCCUGUGAUUUUGUCAAAGAGGUUGUGCAACAUUUUGUUCGGCUUUCCAAGAAGUAAGCAAAGAAUCUUAUGAUCUUUUUUUCGAGAAAAACUUAGCUGUUGUUGGUGAAAUGAAUUGAAAGUUGGUAUGGAUGAGUGCAACAGGGAGUUGUGGUGGUAUU
rnacentral:lncRNA from 1 species